AACGAACGCUGGCGGCAGGCUUAACACAUGCAAGUCGAGCGCCCCGCAAGGGGGGCGGCAGACGGGUGAGUAACGCGUGGGAAUCUACCCAUCUCUACGGAAUAACGCAUGGAAACGUGUGCUAAUACCGUAUACGUCCUUCGGGAGAAAGAUUUAUCGGAGGUGGAUGAGCCCGCGUUGGAUUAGCUAGUUGGUGGGGUAAAGGCCUACCAAGGCGACGAUCCAUAGCUGGUCUGAGAGGAUGAUCAGCCACACUGGGACUGAGACACGGCCCAGACUCCUACGGGAGGCAGCAGUGGGGAAUAUUGGACAAUGGGCGCAAGCCUGAUCCAGCCAUGCCGCGUGAGUGAUGAAGGCCCUAGGGUUGUAAAGCUCUUUCACCGGUGAAGAUAAUGACGGUAACCGGAGAGGAAGCCCCGGCUAACUUCGUGCCAGCCGCCGCGGUAAUAC
rnacentral:rRNA from 1 species